UAGCUCAGUCGGUAAAGAAUCUGCCUGCAAUGCAGGAGACCCGGGUUUGAUUCCUGG
rfam:TPA: Bos taurus chromosome X, whole genome shotgun sequence.